rnacentral:rRNA from 1 species
UACAGAGGUCUCAAGCGUUGUUCGGAUUCAUUGGGCGUAAAGGGUGCGUAGGUGGCGGGGUAAGUCAGGUGUGAAAUCUCGGGGCUCAACCCCGAAACUGCACUUGAUACUGCCUUGCUCGAGUACUGGAGAGGAGAUUGGAAUUUACGGUGUAGCAGUGAAAUGCGUAGAUAUCGUAAGGAAGACCAGUGGCGAAGGCGGCGUUCUGGACUGCAACUGACACUGAAAAACGAAAGCCAGGGGAGCAAACGGG